GAGAAUGGGGUCAGUGAAGCCAGAGACAGCAGAGGUGAAGGUAGUGGUGCGGUUGCUGCCUGGCCCGGCGUUGCUUUUAUUGUAAGGUGCCUGGAGUUCAUGAUCACGUUUGGCUUUGUGGAUGCUACUCAGUCUUAUGAAGUGAUAGUGCAGUGAAAGAUUGACCAUCGAAUGUUUGAAUCAUGAAGCCCUUUUGUUUCCGCCGGGCCAGGAUGCGAGGCGCCAUCGUGUACCUGCUCACCGCACUACUCUACUCGGCUCUGCUGCUGCUGAUGUUGACCCACUCAGGCCUGGACUUGAACAGCAGUGACAUCACCCACAUCACACGUGACAGUACUGACCAAGACAAGAACAAUGAAGUGGUGUUCUUCCUCAUUCUGUGUCAAGGUAAGACUAGAAGUUGAAAGCCUUAAUAGGAUUUAGUGUCGUAGAUCCUUAAUUAACUGAUGAGAGCUAGGAGUUACAUUGGAAA